rnacentral:rRNA from 1 species
GGAAAUCUCACCAGGCCCGGACACCGGAAGGAUUGACAGAUUGAUAGCUCUUUCUUGAUUCGGUGGGUGGUGGUGCAUGGCCGUUCUUAGUUGGUGGAGCGAUCUGUCUGGUUAAUUCCGAUAACGAACGAGACCCCAACCUGCUAACUAGCCCUCGGGUCCUGCUUCUGUUGGGCCCGACGGAAUGAUUCGCUUCUUAGAGGGACUCGCGGCGCCUAGCCGCACGAAGGGGGGCGAUAA